GCGAGCUGCAUCACUCUCAGUGUACAGUGUAUAGUGUAGUGUACAGUGUACGUGCGCGGUGCCGAGGACCACGAUGCGCGCGCUGCUCCUCACGUGCGCGACCCUCCUGGCGGCGGCAGUCGGUCACAGGACCGAGAGAAGCGGAUCCGCCGCCAGAUGCCUCCAACACUGCAUCCCCGACGAGAUCUUGGGGCAGUUAUUCCUCAUGGCCCAUCGCUCCAGAAGCUCGCUUCCAAAGGAUGAUAAUAAACACACAAAACUCCUACCGAACUUCUCACGGUCUCUGAGGGUAAGAGGCUCCUGACGGAGCGCAUUUCACUGUAAGACCGCAGUAAAACACAGUGCACCAUCCUGCUGCAAUUGAUGUGGCUAGGAACGUCCUAACCAGCAAAGUGGAACACACACGUGUACAAUUCAUUCAUUCAUUCAUUCAUUCAUUCAUUCAUUCAUUCAUUUAUCGUUUUUACUACAGAAACCAACCGGAAUAAGAGUUAUAAAGGAGAUGCUGCAUUUCUACUUCUAUGAUGUCUUCAGCUAUGAGUCCCUGGAAAUCAGCAACCAGGAGAAGAUACUGACUUCCCUCUCCCGGAUGAAAGAAGAUGUGAGCUACUGUCUGGGAUUGUACCCCAGUAAACUGUCCUCCAAAGACAAAAACCUCAUUCGAAUAAUGAAAGCCACAUUUACUAAGGUAAUCUUUAAUGCACAUUACAUGGCAAUUGCUGUAAUUAUCAUAAAACAUUAUAGGUGUUUUGAGUUUUUUCAUUAAUGGAUUAUGUCGCUGAAGCCAUCAUAUAUGCUAUAAAGAUAAAUAUGUUUUUGAUCGUGUUGUUCAUACACAAUAUAGAACACAACAGCAGUGAUGGCAUUUUGCAUAUUUACUUACUUUUCAG
rnacentral:lncRNA from 1 species